GGAUGUGAGGGUAAUCUGGCUGUGACAUCUGUCACACCAUUGAUCGCCAGAAUUGAUUCAGCUGAUCUGGCUGGCUAGGUGGGUGUCCCCUUCCUCCUUCACCACUCCAUGUGUGUCCCUCCAGAAGCUGCACGCAUGGUCGAAGAGGACAGCCUUCCCUGAAUAGAGAAAGGGUGACCCAUCUUCGGUUGAGGGUAUAUGAGUAACACCCCUGCUAGAACCUCUAAACAAGCUCUCAAGGCAGUAACAAGGCAGUUACUAAGUAUAAUCAGACGUUGCAUUAUAAUUGAAAAAAAUAUCAUUGGCCUCAAAAUAUGUAUUAUCAUGUUUCAGGAAAAGAGCCUUUUUU
rnacentral:snRNA from 1 species